rnacentral:rRNA from 1 species
GACGAACGCUGGCGGCGUGCUUAACACAUGCAAGUCGAACGAUGAAGUUCCUUCGGGAAUGGAUUAGUGGUGAACGGGUGAGGAACACGUGAGAAACCUGCCUUUCAUUUUGGGAUAACUCCGGGAAACCGGGGCUAAAACCGAAUACUCCGUCUCGGCGGCAUCGCUGAGCCGGGAAAAAUUUUGAUGAAAGAUGGUCUCGCGGCCUAUCAGCUAGUUGGUGAGGUAAUGGCUCACCAAGGCAACGACGGGUAGCCGGCCUGAGAGGGCGACCGGCCACACUGGGACUGAGACACGGCCCAGACUCCUACGGGGGGCAGCAGUGGGGAAUAUUGGGCAAUGGGCGCAAGCCUGACCCAGCGACGCCGCGUGAGGGAUGAAGGCCUUCGGGUUGUAAACCUCUUUCAGUAGGGAAGAAGCGAAAGUGACGGUACCUAAAGAAGAAGCACCGGCUAACUAUGUGCCAGCAGCCGCCGCAG